rnacentral:misc_RNA from 1 species
AAGUCGUAACAAGGUAUCCGUAGGUGAACCUGCGGAUGGAUCAUUACCAAAGAUCUAUACCAAACGUUUUGUGAACUGUCUUGGCCUGAAUGUCUGACGGGUCACACCGUCUGGACGCUCAGGUACUAAACGUCUACCCUUCUUAAGCCUAGAGUAUAUCCAUAGUUGAACACUAUACAACUUUUAGCAAUGGAUCUCUUGGCUCUC